AGAGUUUGAUCCUGGCUCAGGACGAACGCUGGCGGCGUGCCUAACACAUGCAAGUGGAGCGACGAACCGGGCUUCGGCCCGGGGCCAAGCCGCGAACGGGUGAGUAACACGUGGGUAACCUGCCCUGAUGAUUGGGACAACCCGAGGAAACUCGGGCUAAUACCGGAUGUGCCCGCAAGGGGAAAGGAAGCUUCGGCCUCCGCAUCGAGAUGGGCCCGCGGCCCAUUAGCUUGUUGGUGAGGUAACGGCUCACCAAGGCUUCGAUGGGUAGCUGGUCUGAGAGGACGAUCAGCCACACUGGGACUGAGACACGGCCCAGACUCCUACGGGAGGCAGCAGUGGGGAAUCUUGCGCAAUGCGCGAAAGCGUGACGCAGCAACGCCGCGUGGGGGAAGAAGGCUUUCGGGUUGUAAACCCCUUUCAGUUGGGACGAAGCUUCGGCGGUGAAUAGCCGACCGGAGUGACGGUACCUUCACAAGAAGCACCGGCUAACUACGUGCCAGCCGCCGCGGUAAUAC
rnacentral:rRNA from 1 species